rnacentral:rRNA from 1 species
GACGAACGCUGGCGGCGUGCUUAACACAUGCAAGUCGAGCGGUAAGGCCCUUUCGGGGGUACACGAGCGGCGAACGGGUGAGUAACACGUGGGUGACCUGCCCUCCACUCUGGGAUAAGCCCGGGAAACUGGGUCUAAUACCGGAUAGGACCACUGAUCGCAUGGUUGGUGGUGGAAAGUUUUUUCGGUGGGGGAUGGGCCCGCGGCCUAUCAGCUUGUUGGUGGGGUGAUGGCCUACCAAGGCGGUGACGGGUAGCCGGCCUGAGAGGGCGACCGGCCACACUGGGACUGAGACACGGCCCAGACUCCUACGGGAGGCAGCAGUGGGGAAUAUUGCGCAAUGGGCGGAAGCCUGACGCAGCGACGCCGCGUGGGGGAUGACGGCCUUCGGGUUGUAAACCUCUUUCGCCAGGGACGAAGAGCAAUUGACGGUACCUGGAGAAGAAGCACCGGCCAACUACGUGCCAGCAGCCGCGGUAACACGUAGGGUGCGAGCGUUGUCCGGAAUUAUUGGGCGUAAAGAGCUCGUAGGCGGUGUGUCGCGUCGGCCGUGAAAACUUGGGGCUUAACUCUGAGCGUGCGGUCGAUACGGGCAUCACUUGAGUUCGGCAGGGGAGACUGGAAUUCCUGGUGUAGCGGUGAAAUGCGCAGAUAUCAGGAGGAACACCGGUGGCGAAGGCGGGUCUCUGGGCCGAUACUGACGCUGAGGAGCGAAAGCGUGGGGAGCGAACAGGAUUAGAUACCCUGGUAGUCCACGCCGUAAACGUUGGGCGCUAGGUGUGGGGACCAUUCCACGGUUUCUGUGCCGCAGCUAACGCAUUAAGCGCCCCGCUGGGGGAAGUACGGGA